rnacentral:rRNA from 1 species
GACGAACGCUGGCGGCGUGCUUAACACAUGCAAGUCGAACGAUGAACCCGGAGCUUGCUCCGGCGGAUUAGUGGCGAACGGGUGAGUAACACGUGAGUAACCUGCCCUUGACUCUGGGAUAACUGCUAGAAAUGGUAGCUAAUACCGGAUACGACCCUCGGUGGCAUCACCAGGGGGUGGAAAGAAUUUCGGUCAAGGAUGGACUCGCGGCCUAUCAGCUAGUUGGUGAGGUAACGGCUCACCAAGGCGACGACGGGUAGCCGGCCUGGGAGGGUGACCGGCCACGCUGGGACUGGGACACGGCCCAGGCUCCUACGGGAGGCAGCAGUGGGGGAUAUUGCACAAGGGGCGCAAGCCUGAUGCAGCAGCGCCGCGUGGGGGAUGACGGCCUUCGGGUUGUAAACCUCUUUUAGUAGGGAAGAAGCGAAAGUGACGGUACCUGCAGAAAAAGCACCGGCUAACUACGUGCCAGCCGCCGCCGUAA